UACGGAGGAUCCAAGCGUUAUCCGGAUUUAUUGGGUUUAAAGGGUGCGUAGGCGGAAUGAUAAGUCAGUGGUGAAAGCCUGCAGCUUAACUGCAGAACUGCCAUUGAUACUGUCAAUCUUGAGUACAUUUGAUGUGGGCGGAAUGUGUCAUGUAGCGGUGAAAUGCUUAGAUAUGACACAGAACACCGAUUGCGAAGGCAGCUCACA
rnacentral:rRNA from 1 species